rnacentral:lncRNA from 1 species
GUCCCCAUGUCCCCCUGUGUCCCCACGUGUCCCCAUGUCCCCCUGUGUCCCCACGUGUCCCCAUGUCCUCAUGCUGUCAUGUCCCCAUCCAUCCCCACGUCCCCACACAUCCCCAUGUGUCCCCAUACGUGUCCAUGUCCCCAUGUGUCCCCACAUCCCCACACGUCCCUUUUUUCCCCACAUGUCCCCAUGACCUCGUGUCCCACAUGUCCCUACAUCCCCAUGUCCCCAUAUAUCCCCAUACAUCCCCAAGUGUCCCCAUGUCUUCAGAUGUCCCCAUACGCCCCCACGUGUCCCCAUGUCCCCAUGGGUCCCCACAUCCCCACGCUCCCAUGUGUCCCCAUGUCCCCAUGUGCCCCCACAUGUUCAGAUGUCCUCGUGGCCCCAUGUGUCCCCGUGUCCUCAUGUCCUCAUGUCUCCAUGUCCCCAUGUGUCCCCACAUCCCCACACCCCCAUGUGUCCCCAUGUCUUCAGAUGUUCCCACAUGUCCCCAUGUGUCCCCAUAUCUCCCCACGUGUCCCCAUGUCCCCAUUUGUCCCCACGUGUCCCCAUGUGUCCAGAUGUCCUCGUGUCCCCAGCUGUCCCCAUGUGUCCCCGUGUCCUCAUGUCUCCAUGUCCCACCCAUCCCCAUGUGUGUCCAUAUCCCCUCAUGUCCCCACGUCCCCCUCUGUCCCCAUGUCCCCAUGUCCCCAUGUGCCCCCGUCCCGGUCCCGGUCUCGUUACCGACGAACACGUGCUCGAAUCCGGACGAGUCGAGCGCGGCGCCGCCGGAGCGCGAGUAGCGGCCGAACCACAUCAGCUUCAGCGCCUCCCGGAGCGCGCUGCGGGAACGCCACAGCCCUGCGCCCCACGGCUCAGCCCCAUGGCCCUGCCCCACAGCUCUGCCCCACGGCCCAGCCCCACGGCUCAGCCCCACGGCCCAGCCCUACGGCCCAGCCCCACAGCUCAGCCCCAUGGCCCAGCCCUAUGGCUCUGCCCCACGGCUCAGCCCUACAGCCUAGCCCCACGGCUCAGCCCCACAGCUCAGCCCCACGGCCCAGCCCUACAGCCCAGCCCCACGGCUCUGCCCCACGGCCCAGCCCCACAGCUCUGCCCCAUGGCCCAGCCCUACAGCCUAGCCCCAUGGCCCAGCCCCAUGGCCCAGCCCCACGGCCCUGCGCUGCCACACUCAGCCCCACCGCUCUGCCCCACACCUCUGCCCCACUUCUCUGCCCCACACGCCCGCCCCACACCUCUCCAUUGCACAUCUUCACCCCGCACCUCUCUGCCCCACAUCUCUCCAUCCCACACCUCCAUCCCCACGUCUCCACCCCGUACCGCACCUCACACUUCUCCGCCCCACAUCUCCCGGCCCCACAUCGCCAUCCUUGCACCCCUCCACCCUCACACUUCUCCGCCCCACAUGUCCCCGCCCCACAUCCCCGCCCUCACCCUCCUCCUCCCCCCGCCGCUCACCGCUGUCGAGGAGCGCUCCCAUGACGUCGGUGCCGAGCACGGCGUCGAGGAACCGCUCCUCCUCGCGCUCCUCCUCCGCCGUCACCGCCUCCGCGACCCCGCACGGCGCCUCGUAGUUGUCCAGCAGCGCCCGCAGCUCCGGGAACGGCGAGCGGGAAAGCAGCGCCUCGUCCACGUGCUCGAACAGCCUGGGGGGGGGGAACGGGGG